rnacentral:pre_miRNA from 1 species
AGUGGAAUAGCUGGGUCAAAUGGUGGUUCCAUUCUAAGUUUUCUGAGGCAUCUCUACACUGUUUUCCAAGGUUGUUGCACCAAUUUGCAAUCCCACCAGCAAU